UGCUGUCGACAGGUAGCCGCGCAGUUGCGAAUGGAAUUCAGGCCGCUCGCACGAUUUCUCGUCAUUUUCAUCAUCCUCAUUGUGGUGUAUGAAAAUGUCGCAAACGCUCAGAGGAGGAAAAAUAAACCGAUUAAAGGAGGCCGUCGGUACAUUGUGAAAUGCUGUGGAAUUUCAAAAUGCAUCCCAAAACAUCGCAAAGUCAAACCCACUACAGGCCAUUUCAUAAACAUCACUGCAAUAAACAAGGC